AGCGAGAGAGCAGUUUGUUAAUAAUAAUUCACUCGCAAAAUCUCAAGGAGUUGGAAGCAAAAAUUGAGCUCUGGGUCAAUGGCAAAGAAGUCUUUGUUGAACCAGUACUUGUUGCAGCUUCAGCAUCAUCCACUGAGAACCGAGGCAAUUACAGCAGGGGUGUUGUCGGGGAUCAGUGACUUGGUUUCGCAGAAGCUCACUGGGAUACAGAAGAUUCAACUGAGAAGGCUUGUUCUCAAAGUGUCAUGGUGAACACCGACUACCUAGCCAUCUUCCAAUCCCAUAAUGGAGACAUUGUUGCAAUUAGGAUGGUUUAGGGAAGAGCAUGGCAGUGGAGGGGAUAGGCUCGAUUUCACAAUGAAUGUCGUUCUUCGGUUGCCCAUCUCUCU